rnacentral:rRNA from 1 species
UACGUAGGGUGCGAGCGUUGUCCGGAAUUACUGGGCGUAAAGCGUGCGCAGGCGGUUUGCUAAGACAGGUGUGAAAUCCCCGGGCUUAACCUGGGAACUGCGCUUGUAACUGGCAAGCUAGAGUGUGGCAGAGGGGGGUGGAAUUCCGCGUGUAGCAGUGAAAUGCGUAGAUAUGCGGAGGAACACCGAUGGCGAAGGCAAUCCCCUGGGCCUGCACUGACGCUCAUGCACGAAAGCGUGGGGAGCAAACAGG